GUAAGAGAAAGCGGAAGUUUCGAAGGAUUCGCAGUACUACCAAUUUCUGUAUUAUAGUACUUCGAAGUCAGUAUCUAUUGUGGUUGCUUUUGGGGAAUAUGGUGACGUAUGGUUAAAUUGCUGGUCCUCUAGUGCUAACCUACAUGUCUCCUCUUUACCUUGUGCUUCUGCUGUUUGAAAGUCUUCGAGAAAUAUGCCGUUUCCUCAGUACUUCUGCAUUCUUCUCAAUAUCUUUAUAGUCAGCGGUUUUCUAAAUGGGUUUACGGCGGUUUCAGCAGCAAAGCAGCCUCAUAUAGUUUUAAUUCUGGCUGACGAUUUUGGUUGGUAUGAUGUUGGCUACCACGGCUCUGAGAUUAAAACACCAAAUUUAGACCAACUAUCCGCGAGUGGUGUCCGAUUGGAGAACUAUUAUGUUCAGCCCAUUUGUACUCCAUCCAGGAACCAACUAAUGACGGGGAGAUACCAGAUUCGCACAGGAUUGCAGCAUCAGAUCAUAUGGCCCUGUCAGCCAUACUGUGUCCCACUGGAUGAGACAUUACUGCCACAGCUGAUGGGAAAAGCAGGUUACUCUACACAUAUGGUUGGCAAGUGGCACCUGGGCAUGUACAAAAAAGACUGUCUUCCUACCCAGAGGGGUUUUCACUCAUACUUUGGAUAUCUAACUGGCGGUGAGACUUACUAUGACCAUGUCCGCUGUUUUCCAAUAUCCUCUUUGAAUAUAACCCGGUGUGCUCUGGACUUCAGAGAGGGAGAGGAGGCUACCGCUGCUUAUAAAGGAGCUUAUUCCACUGAGCUUUUCAGUGAAAGAGCCUCCAGUAUUAUACAAACACACAAAUCCGAUAAGCCACUGUUCCUCUAUGUUGCGCUGCAAGCAGUCCACUCACCUUUGCAAGUUCCCCAGCGCUACCUGACGCCCUACAGUUUCAUCAAAGACCAUAAUCGACGAAUCUAUGCUGGCAUGGUGUCUGCUAUGGACGAGGCUGUGGGCAACAUUACCUCGGCCCUUAAACAAAGUGGGCUUUGGGAAAACACUGUGCUUGUCUUUUCAACGGAUAACGGUGGUCAGACCUUGUCUGGUGGCAGCAACUGGCCCCUAAGAGGAAGGAAAGUAACCCUGUGGGAAGGUGGUGUCCGAGGAGUGGGCUUUGUUGCUAGUCCACUAAUAAAUCGACCAGGUCGUGUAAGUCGUGAGCUUAUCCACAUCUCUGACUGGCUGCCCACACUAGUGGCUCUGGCUGGUGGCUCGACUAACUCCACUAAACCACUGGAUGGAUUCAAUGUCUGGAACACUAUCAGCGAAGGCCAUGCCUCUCCCAGACUGGAGCUCCUGCACAACAUUGACCCUUUAUUUGGUGACCCUUCUCCAUGCCCUGGCAGCAAAAGAAAGUUAACUUUGGCUCAGGUGGACAGUGGAAACUCCUGGGCUCACUCUGGCUUCAAUGUAUCCAUUCACGCAGCUAUUCGAUGGUCAAACUGGAAACUGCUAACUGGCUAUCCAGGUUGUGAUGCUUGGUUCCCUCAACCUGACAGUAAUAAUUCUGAGUCCCAAAUCCUUGAUCUGCACCCACUGAAGCCAGUCAUGCUAUUUGAUGUUGAGAAUGAUCCAGAGGAAAGGACUGAGUUAUCUGCUAAGUUCCCUACAGUUGUUGACUAUCUUCUUGGUCGACUCAACGUUUACCAGAAACAGGCAUUACCAGUAAACUACCCUGAUGAUGAUCCAAAGUGUGACCCAGGCCCUGGUGGAGCCUGGGGACCAUGGGCCUAGAAAGAUAUUAUCUAAUGAAGAAUGCAUGUCCUGAUCUGCAGCUGACCACCACAAUGUGUUAACCCGGCAUUAUCACCACAGAAUGGACCUGCCCUUAUUACUGUGACAUGCCUAAUAUUACGCAAGUCGGAGAAAACGUGCCACUAUCACCGAGAGGAAAAAAGUAGAAGGGCAACGCUGACAGCACCGAAGUAAACUACCACCGCCUCACAUCUAACGGAUCCAUAACUUUCUGGAAUUAAAGUAGAUUACAGCCUUUUCAGCCAGAGUCAGAAAGCAGCGAGCGCGAGAGCCAAUACAUGUUUGGAUCACCAUGGGACCAAGAGCCUACUCCCAAGAAAUGAAUGAAGUGCACAGAUGACGAAGCGCCUGAUUCAACUUCCAAGGCCACACCGCAGUCAACAUGGUCAACUGAACCAUCUAAAACCAGUCCACCAGGAAUGGCAAAGCUUCCACAGGUUGAGCAGAAUUCUGGUGGUCAAGCUUGUGGGGACUGUCCAUGCUGCCGUGACCUCAGCCAGAAAAUCCAAAAGCUUCGGGACCGACUGUGGGUUUAUGAGGAUGUGCCUACUGAUACUGAUGACGAAUAAGACAUACAUGUUCUGAGUUCUGGGUUGUUAGAUAUCUUGUAACACACCCUGUUGAUUCAUUCUUGUUCAUUCUUCAUGUUUGGGAGCUUUAGCUGCUGGAAUAAAACAUAGUACAUGGUCACUGUAUACUCGUGCCAUUGUGUCAAAUGCGAAUGUUCAAGAUACAAUAAAAAAUUGAAGGAGCUUCAUAAAAUACAUCUGUUUGGUACCAUUUGGUAACACUUUUUUUUUUUAUCACUACCCACAUGCCAUUAAUUACAUGUGAAAAUUGGACCAUGUUGCGUUUUCUUGUUUUUAACAGGACCCUCACACAUAACCUAUUUAAAAUUUUAAACAUUUGGUGAUUUCUUUUAACAGUCCUAGUACAUAUCUUGAUUCUCAAAAAAAUUAAGGCUCUACUACUCCUAGAAGUAGGUUUACAAAGGGGCUAAAAAUGGUACGCCACAGAAAUGAACACGUUUGUUUCAUUUUUAGGUUCAUAUAAAAUGACAAUGAGUUGAGAAACCAAACUUUCAAUUGAUGUUAUUUGAACACAGAUUGGAGGAGUACAAGCCUACAAAAUUGCAGCCCUCUAUGUGUGAUACUUACGGAGAUAUCGACCUGUGAAAACGGUUUCAGAAUUUUUAAAAAACAUGAUGCGUGAGAUUUUCUGGAAAUUUGAUGAAAUGGCAUGGAAUGACGCAUUUUCAGUUUUGGCCUGGUCUAGUCAAUUAUUUUAUUUGUAGUUCCCCUAUCACCAUAAAAACCCUGAUCUGGUUGAAAUUGCCGGUUUGUUAUUGAUCAUAUUGUUUUUUUGUAGCCUCUGUGUAACCAGUCCUCCAUUCUGCAGCAUAUUGCUUUAAUAAAAGUGACACAGGCCAUAUAUAAAGGCUGACCCAGUUACCGUCUCACUCAAAAUGCAACUGUAUUUUUCGUCUUGUUCUUGGUGAACGCCUUCCCUUUAGCCCACCAUCUGCCUAAUGGCCUGUGCAGCUGGAAAUUGAUUUACUAAUCUUAGUCUUCACAGAUAAGGCUGACUUGUGCUCUACUGGUCCACUUAAGUACUUUGCCUCUGAAAAUUCAUAGAAUCACAUUCAGAGUUUAUUUACUACUGCUAUGUUUUCUGCUAGUGAAUACAUCUUUCUUUAUAUAAUCUAUAUUUUUUGUGCAUUUGAUGUGCAUUUGUUGUUGUGACUCCUUCAUUCUGGGCUCACUCAAAUAACAGGGUCUCCUGCUUAGGUCAGUCUUUGAGAGGGAAGAAUGCAGCAAAUUAGGUAUUUCUUUGUUUGCUGUUGUCAUUUGAGGCUGUCCGUGGCAGCUAAGUGGUAUUUGCCAUCUGAAGACAGCAGGGAUUACUCUUGUCUCCCUCUGCAAAGCCUGGGACAAGGGGGUAAACAUAGGCUCAAAAACAAGUUAAAAUGAGUGUAAUGGUAGUGCUGAAAUAGGAGCACAUGAUGCAUGAAGAAAUGACAGCUUUAAACAAGUAAGGUUUGAAAGGCCCGGAGUAUCAGACGUAAUGUUUGGCAGUUAACUGGGACAUGCCUGGGUCAAACAUCUGUGAUCCAUUUCUCAGGCUUGGAGCUGCCUCUUUCUCUUUGUCUUUCUACUUAAAACUGUGCCUUAUACUCACUUAGUGAUACAUUUACAUUUAAGUACUAGACGGUUACUGCUUAUUUUUUUAUCACAAUGUUCAUUUGCAUCAAGGUAUUUCAUAUUUCACAUGCUUUUAUAUAUGCAAACAUUUAUUAUAGCAAAACUGUCACUCAUUUUCAGUCACCCUGUUACCCUAAUAACAUGGAUUUAAACACGAUUUUUAUUUUUAAAUAAAUAUUUAAAAGUCA